GAUGAAGAACGUAGCGAAAUGCGAUAAGUAAUGUGAAUUGCAGAAUUCAGUGAAUCAUCGAAUCUUUGAACGCAUAUUGCACCUUAGAGUAUUCUUUAAGGUAUACCUGUUUGAGCGUCGUUUACAACCUAAAGCAUUGCUUUUUGUUAGGAUUUGGUUAGCAAUUAACCAAUUACUUAAACGAAGCGGCGUCAUUUGUUAGUCAAAAACACAGUGAAAAUGUGUGCUUGUCAAGCAAAUGAUUUUGCCUAUUGAACAUAUUAUAUACUGUUCGACCUCAAAUCAAGUAAGACUACCCGCUGAACUUAAGCAUAUCAAUAAGCGGAGGA
rnacentral:misc_RNA from 1 species